GGGCGCGAGCGUUGUCCGGAUUUAUUGGGCGUAAAGAGCUCGUAGGCGGCUUGUCGCGUCGACUGUGAAAACCCACGGCUUAACUGUGGGCUUGCAGUCGAUACGGGCAGGCUAGAGUUCGGUAGGGGAGACUGGAAUUCCUGGUGUAGCGGUGAAAUGCGCAGAUAUCAGGAGGAACACCGGUGGCGAAGGCGGGUCUCUGGGCCGAUACUGACGCUGAGGAGCGAAAGCGUGGGGAGCGAACAGG
rnacentral:rRNA from 1 species